CUGGUGAGUAACACGUAGGUGAUCUACCUUGAGGCCUGGGAUAGCCUGUGGAAACACAGGGUAAGACCGGAUGAGCCCCUGUACUUGCGGGUAGAGGGGGAAAGGUGCUAUGGCACCGCCUUAAGAUGAGCCUGCGUCCCAUUAGUUAGUUGGUGGGGUAAAGGCCUACCAAGGCGACGAUGGGUAGCCGGCCUGAGAGGGUGAUCGGCCACACUGGGACUGAGACACGGCCCAGACUCCUACGGGAGGCAGCAGCUAAGAAUCUUCCGCAAUGGACGAAAGUCUGACGGAGCGACGCCGCGUGAACGAAGAAGGCCGGAAGGUUGUAAAGUUCUUUUGCGGGUGAAGAAUAAGGCGAGGAGGGAAUGCCUCGCUGAUGACGUUAGCCUGUGAAUAAGCCCCGGCUAAUUACGUGCCAGCAGCCGCGGUAACACGUAAGGGGCGAGCGUUGUUCGGAAUUAUUGGGCGUAAAGGGCGUGUAGGCUGUUUUGUAAGCCUGGUGUGAAAGUGCACGGCUUAACUGUGUAUGUGCGCUGGGAACUGCAAGACUAGAGUCCGGAAGGGGGAGGUAGAAUUCCUGGUGUAGGGGUGAGAUCUGUAGAUAUCAGGAAGAAUACCGGUGGCGAAGGCGACCUCCUGGUCCUGGACUGACGCUGAGGCGCGAAAGCGUGGGGAGCGAACAGGAUUAGAUACCCUGGUAGUCCACGCUGUAAACGAUGUGCACUAGGUGUUGGGGCAAGAGCUUCAGUGCCGAAGCGAACGCGAUAAGUGCACCGCCUGGGGAGUAUGCUCGCAAGGGUGAAACUCAAAGGAAUUGACGGGGGCCCGCACAAGCGGUGGAGCAUGUGGUUUAAUUCGAUGAUACGCGAGGAACCUUACCAGGGCUUGACAUAUACCGGGAGCCGUGAGAGAUCACGGUGCCCCUUUGGGGCCGGUACACAGGUGCUGCAUGGCUGUCGUCAGCUCGUGCUGUGAAGUGUUGGGUUAAGUCCACGCAACGAGCGCAACCCCUACUGUCUGUUGUCAACAGGGGAAGCUGGGGAGUCAGACGGAACUUCCGGUGACAAACCGGAGGAAGG
rnacentral:rRNA from 1 species